CAAGACUUGACAUCCCGCUGACCGCUCUAGAGAUAGAGUUUCCCUUCGGGGCAGUGGUGACAGGUGGUGCAUGGUUGUCGUCAGCUCGUGUCGUGAGAUGUUGGGUUAAGUCCCGCAACGAGCGCAACCCUUACGUUGUGUUGCCAUCAUUUAGUUGGGCACUCACAAUGGACUGCCGGUGACAAACCGGAGGAAGGCGGGGAUGACGUCAAAUCAUCAUGCCCCUUAUGUCUUGGGCUACACACGUGCUACAAUGGGCGGUACAAAGGGAUGCGAAACCGCGAGGUGGAGCCAAUCUCAUAAAGCCGUUCGUAGUUCGGAUUGCAGGCUGCAACUCGCCUGCAUGAAGCCGGAAUUGCUAGUAAUCGCGGAUCAGCAUGCCGCGGUGAAUUCGUUCCCGGGCCUUGUACACACCGCCCGUCACACCACGGGAGUUGGCAACACCCAAAGUCGGUGAGGUAACCUUUCGAGGAGCCAGCCGCCUAAGGUGGGGUCGAUGACUGGGGUG
rnacentral:rRNA from 1 species